rnacentral:lncRNA from 1 species
UUUUCUCUAUCCCUGCACUCUUUAUUUCCAGUUGACUUUACCUGUUUGGCAGUCAAUUGCAUUUUUCCGCUGCAUUGAAAUUUUCAUUACUUCAUUUCAAAAAAAGAUCAAAAAGCUUUAUACUUUUGUAUAAAGAUCUCAAAAAGAUUUUUUUUUUUGAAACAACACCAAUUCACCUCCCCUCUUGGUGUAAAGAAGCCUACCCGUUUUCCUAACACAUCAGAAUCAUCAUGAUCUUCGCCUUGCACAGGUGUGGUCUGGGAAGGCUUCUGAGGUGGACAUGGCUGUUGAGGUGGGCAUGGAUGCUGGAAUAUGAUGGGGAGGUAUGUCCUUAGCGACAUUGUUGGGGUCAAAUAUGCUAAAGGUAGAUGGUUGAUGUAUGAAUAUGCCUCCUCUUCCAACACUAUAAUGAGAUACAAGUUGUCCUACCCCAUACAGUUGUCCUUUCUUCUUUCCCCUGACAGUAUCAACCCAGCAUAGGGUCCUGAUCAUUUCUUCGUCUGCACCAACUUUAGUGUUACCAUUAAGACCAGAUCCCCCCUAUGGUCUCGCCUGUUUCAAUCUUGCAGAAAAAUCUUCAUGUUAAAUAAGAUAGAAAACGUCAGUAACAUGAAUUUGAAAGUGUGAAAAAAAAGAUUAAAAAUUGAAUGUUGUUAAAAAUUUUACAUACAAUGGUCUUGCGAAACCUCUCAUCAACAUAUUCGUCAGUCCCCUUGCGAAUAUGAGUCUGUGUAAAGACCUUAUCGACAUGAACAGCCCGUCCAAGCUUCACUGCCUGUAAUAUUUUAAAACAUACGAAUGACACAUAUAUUAAUUUCAAAGUGCAUGGUGUUAUAGAGUCAUUGAUAAGAAAAGAAUCAAGAAUUUUACCAUAUGAAUCGCAUUUUCAUGUGUAAUGAUUGAUCCUCCAGUAUGCAAUACAUCACCUUUUUCCGAUGCCCUAUUUUUCUUGGCGGUAGCACAUUUAAUGCAGUACAGUAGACAUUAGAAUGUGUUUCGUGUCAAUUAGGAAAACAUGUUAGAUCUUCCUUUCCUAAAAUGUCUCAAUCAAUAUGUAAUUCCAGUUUUUCCAUCAUCCAUUAUGAUAUAUGGGGACCUAGUCGUAUCUCCUCCUUUGGUUUUAGAUAUUUUGUU